CACGUAGGGGGCGAGCGUUGUCCGGAUUUAUUGGGCGUAAAGAGCUCGUAGGCGGCUCGGUAAGUCGGGUGUGAAACCUCCAGGCUCAACCUGGAGACGCCACCUGAUACUGCUGUGGCUAGAGUCCGGAAGAGGAGAGUGGAAUUCCCGGUGUAGCGGUGAAAUGCGCAGAUAUCGGGAAGAACACCCGUGGCGAAGGCGGCUCUCUGGGACGGUACUGACGCUGAGACGCGAAAGCGUGGGGAGCGAACAGG
rnacentral:rRNA from 1 species